UGUGUGUGUGUGUGUGUGUGUGUGUGUGUGUGUGUGUGUGUGUGUGUGUGUGUGUGUGUGUGUGUGUGAGAGAGAGAGAGAGAGAGAGAGAGAGAGAGAGAGAGAGAGAGAGAGAGAGAGAGAGAGAGAGAGAGAGAGAGAGAGAGAGAGAGAGAGAACCGAUGCUCCUCUGAGGCCUCAAGCCGGGCUUCUACGCAUGCUCCUGUCGGUGUGGAGGAACAGGGCUUUGCAAAUAUGAAUAAAGUGUUUUUCUUGGCUGCCCCGGAGCGGCGGGGUCUACCCUACCAGUAAAUAAAUGUGCUAAUUUUUCUGACUCUUUUGCUGCAGCUGAAAGGGACAACAAAAAGAAGUCCAAAGGUGUGGAGGGGACUAAGGGGAAAAGGGAUCAAAGGCAAACCAUCAAACAGGCAUCUGCCAAACAUCUGGGACCUUCUUACACCUUUGCUUUUGACACACAGAACUUCAAAUAUGUUGCUGAUCCUUUGGAUGAAGGUGAGUAAAAACGUGUUUAUGCACCAGUUAAGAGAAGAUGUCACCCUGUGUGUGUGUGUGUGUGUGUGUGUGUGUGUGUGUGUGUGUGUGUGUGUGUGUGCUCCCAGA